CCCCCGCGUUCUUCCCACCUCCCGAUUGGCAGGCCCCGAACCGGCACGCCCCCGUGAGCCCGCCCUCGAAAUCACUCUUAAAGGGUCCGCUCCUGGCUCGCGACUCCCCAGUUCCCUAGCCCAGAAAAGCGGAUUGGAGCCCGGGAAGCUCAUUGCGAUUCCAAAGGUCACGCUGAUGCAAGAGAUGGGUUCCCAUGAUCUUGGGCAGCUCCACUCCUGUGGCUUUGCAGGGUACAGGCUUCCUCCUGGCUGCUUUCACGGGCUGGUGAUGCGGAAACUGAAGCUCAGAGAGCCCAAGUCAUUUGCCCAAGGUCCCAGUGACCUGCCGAGUGGGAAGAGCCGUGGCUGGCCGGCCUCCCAGUGGCGACGACGACCUCGCUGUGUUCGUGGCAGCGGCACUCUCAAAUCUGGGCACGGUGAUGGGAAGGUUAUUUGUUGGAAUCCCUUUGCCUUUCCAAGGGAAAAUAAACACAAAAAGUGAG
rnacentral:lncRNA from 1 species